GUACAUUUAGCUCAGUUGGUCAGAGCAAACGGCUCAUAACCGUCCGGUCGUAGGUUCGAGUCCUAAAGGGUACC
rnacentral:tRNA from 1 species